rnacentral:rRNA from 1 species
AUGACGAGUGGCGGACGGGUGAGUAAUGCUUGGGAACUUGCCUUUGCGAGGGGGAUAACAGUUGGAAACGACUGCUAAUACCGCAUAAUGUCUUCGGACCAAACGGGGCUUCGGCUCCGGCGCAAAGAGAGGCCCAAGUGAGAUUAGCUAGUUGGUAAGGUAACGGCUUACCAAGGCGACGAUCUCUAGCUGUUCUGAGAGGAAGAUCAGCCACACUGGGACUGAGACACGGCCCAGACUCCUACGGGAGGCAGCAGUGGGGAAUAUUGCACAAUGGGGGAAACCCUGAUGCAGCCAUGCCGCGUGUGUGAAGAAGGCCUUCGGGUUGUAAAGCACUUUCAGUUGUGAGGAAAAGUUAGUAGUUAAUACCUGCUAGCCGUGACGUUAACAACAGAAGAAGCACCGGCUAACUCCGUGCCAGCAGCCGCGGUAAUACGGAGGGUGCGAGCGUUAAUCGGAAUUACUGGGCGUAAAGCGCACGCAGGCGGUUUGUUAAGCUAGAUGUGAAAGCCCCGGGCUCAACCUGGGAUGGUCAUUUAGAACUGGCAGACUAGAGUCUUGGAGAGGGGAGUGGAAUUCCAGGUGUAGCGGUGAAAUGCGUAGAUAUCUGGAGGAACAUCAGUGGCGAAGGCGACUCCCUGGCCAAAGACU